rnacentral:rRNA from 1 species
CCUACGGGAGGCAGCAGUGGGGAAUUUUGCGCAAUGGGCGAAAGCCUGACGCAGCAACGCCGCGUGGAGGAUGAAGGCCUUCGGGUCGUAAACUCCUGUCAGGGGGGACGAAAGUCCCGCGCAAGCGGGAUCUGACUGUACCUCCGGAGGAAGCCACGGCUAACUCCGUGCCAGCAGCCGCGGUAAUACGGAGGUGGCAAGCGUUGUUCGGAAUUACUGGGCGUAAAGGGCGCGUAGGCGGCUUGGCAAGUCAGAUGUGAAAGCCCCGGGCUCAACUCGGGAAUUGCAUCUGAAACUGCCUGGCUUGAGUCCUGGAGGGGGCAGUGGAAUUCCCAGUGUAGCGGUGAAAUGCGUAGAUAUUGGGAGGAACACCGGUGGCGAAGGCGGCUGCCUGGACAGUGACUGACGCUGAGGCGCGAAAGCUAGGGGAGCAAACGGGAUUAGAUACCCCUGUAGU